GAAAUUUAAGGGCGGAACAGGCAGCCGCCGCCACGUGUUUUACACGGUAGGAGAUGCAGAUUGCCACCUGCUAAAUUUC
rnacentral:ncRNA from 1 species